rnacentral:rRNA from 1 species
GACGAACGCUGGCGGCGUGCUUAACACAUGCAAGUCGAACGAAGCUUGAUUACGGAUUCUUCGGAUGAAGUAUGAUAUGACUGAGUGGCGGACGGGUGAGUAACGCGUGAGUAACCUGCCCUUCAGAGGGGGAUAGCGUUUGGAAACGAACGGUAAUACCGCAUAAUGUAUUUUGACCGCAUGAUCGAAAUACCAAAGAUUUAUCGCUGAAGGAUGGACUCGCGUCUGAUUAGGUAGUUGGUGGGGUAACGGCCUACCAAGCCGACGAUCAGUAGCCGGACUGGGAGGUUGAUCGGCCACAUUGGGACGGAGACACGGCCCAGACUCCUACGGGAGGAAGCAGUGGGGAAGAUUGCACAAUGGGCGCAAGACUGAUGCAGCAACGCCGCGUGAAGGAAGACGGUUUUCGGAUUGUAAACCUCUGUUCUUAGUGAAGAAUAAUGACGGUAGCUAAGGAGCAAGCCACGGCUAACUACGUG